UACGAAGGGGGCUAGCGUUGCUCGGAAUCACUGGGCGUAAAGCGCACGUAGGCGGCUUGUUAAGUCAGGGGUGAAAUCCUGGAGCUCAACUCCAGAACUGCCUUUGAUACUGGCGAGCUUGAGUCCGGGAGAGGUGAGUGGAACUGCGAGUGUAGAGGUGAAAUUCGUAGACAUUCGCAAGAACACCAGUGGCGAAGGCGGCUCACUGGCCCGGUACUGACGCUGAGGUGCGAAAGCGUGGGGAGCAAACAGG
rnacentral:rRNA from 1 species